AGUGAACGCUGGCGGUAGGCCUAACACAUGCAAGUCGAACGGCAGCACAGUAAGAGCUUGCUCUUACGGGUGGCGAGUGGCGGACGGGUGAGGAAUACAUCGGAAUCUACUUUUUCGUGGGGGAUAACGUAGGGAAACUUACGCUAAUACCGCAUUCGACCUACGGGUGAAAGCAGGGGAUCUUCGGACCUUGCGCGAUUGAAUGAGCCGAUGUCGGAUUAGCUAGUUGGCGGGGUAAAGGCCCACCAAGGCGACGAUCCGUAGCUGGUCUGAGGGGAUGAUCAGCCACACUGGAACUGAGAAACGGUCCAGACUCCGACGGGAGGCAGCAGUGGGGAAUAUUGGGCAAUGGGCGCAAGCCUGAUCCAGCCAUACCGCGGGGGUGAAGAAGGCCUUCGGGUUGUAAAGCCCUUUUGUUGGGAAAGAAAAGCAGCAGGUUAAUACCCCGCUGUUCUGACGGUACCCAAAGAAUAAGCACCGGCUAACUUCGU
rnacentral:rRNA from 1 species